rnacentral:rRNA from 1 species
UCCUGACUGACCGAUAGUGAACCAGUACCGUGAGGGAAAGGCGAAAAGAACCCCUGUGAGGGGAGUGAAAUAGAUCCUGAAACCGCAUGCAUACAAGCAGUGGGAGCACCUUCGUGGUGUGACUGCGUACCUUUUGUAUAAUGGGUCAGCGACUUAUAUUCAGUAGCGAGGUUAACCGUAUAGGGGAGCCGUAGAGAAAUCGAGUCUUAAUAGGGCGUUUAGUUGCUGGGUAUAGACCCGAAACCAGGCGAUCUAUCCAUGAGCAGGUUGAAGGUUGGGUAACACUAACUGGAGGACCGAACCCACUGUCGUUGAAAAGCCAGGGGAUGACUUGUGGAUAGGGGUGAAAGGCUAAUCAAGCCUGGUGAUAGCUGGUUCUCCCCGAAAGCUAUUUAGGUAGCGCCUCGGACGAAUACCAUAGGGGGUAGAGCACUGUUUCGGCUAGGGGGUCAUCCCGACUUACCAAACCGAUGCAAACUCCGAAUACCUAUGAGUACUAUCCGGGAGACAGACUGCGGGUGCUAACGUCCGUAGUCAAGAGGAAAACAAUCCAGACCGCCAGCUAAGGCCCCAAAAUCAUAGUUAAGUGGGAAACGAUGUGGGAAGGCAUAGACAGCUAGGAGGUUGGCUUAGAAGCAGCCACCCUUUAAAGAAAGCGUAAUAGCUCACUAGUCGAGUCGGCCUGCGCGGAAGAUGUAACGGGGCUAAAACUAUGUGCCGAAGCUGCGGAUGUAUACUUUGUAUACGUGGUAGGGGAGCGUUCUGUAAGCCGAUGAAGGUGUGUUGAGAAGCAUGCUGGAGGUAUCAGAAGUGCGAAUGCUGACGUGAGUAACGACAAAACGGGUGAAAAACCCGUUCGCCGAAAGACCAAGGGUUCCAGUCCAACGUUAAUCGGGGCUGGGUGAGUCGACCCCUAAGGCGAGGCCGAAAGGCGUAGUCGAUGGGAAAAUGGUUAAUAUUCCAUUACUUCUGUGUAAUGCGAUGAGAGGACGGAGAAGGCUAAAUCAGCCUGGCGUUGGUUGUCCAGGUGAAAGGAUGUAGGCAUGUAUCUUAGGCAAAUCCGGGGUACUCUAUGCUGAGAUCUGAUAGCAAGCUGUACUUGUACAGCGAAGUGGUUGAUGCCAUGCUUCCAGGAAAAGUCUCUAAGCUUCAGUUACACAGGAAUCGUACCCGAAACCGACACAGGUGGUCAGGUCGAGUAGACCAAGGCGCUUGAGAGAACUCUGCUGAAGGAACUAGGCAAAAUGGUACCGUAACUUCGGGAGAAGGUACGCUGUUGUUGGUGAUGGAACUCGCUUCCUGAGCUGACGACAGCCGCAGAAACCAGGCCGCUGCAACUGUUUAUUAAAAACAUAGCACUCUGCAAACACGAAAGUGGACGUAUAGGGUGUGAUGCCUGCCCGGUGCUGGAAGGUUAAUUGAUGGGGUUAGCGUAAGCGAAGCUCUUGAUCGAAGCCCCAGUAAACGGCGGCCGUAACUAUAACGGUCCUAAGGUAGCGAAAUUCCUUGUCGGGUAAGUUCCGACCUGCACGAAUGGCAUAAUGAUGGCGGCGCUGUCUCCAGCAGAGGCUCAGUGAAAUCGAAAUCGCUGUGAAGAUGCAGUGUACCCGCGGCUAGACGGAAAGACCCCGUGAACCUUUACUGCAGCUUGACACUGAACUUUGACCUUACUUGUGUAGGAUAGGUGGGAGGCUUUGAAGCUGGAACGCUAGUUCCAGUGGAGCCGUCCUUGAAAUACCACCCUGGUAAUGUUGAGGUUCUAACUCUGUCCCGUGAUCCGGGACGAGGACCGUGUCUGGUGGGUAGUUUGACUGGGGCGGUCUCCUCCUAAAGAGUAACGGAGGAGUACGAAGGUGCGCUCAGCGUGGUCGGAAAUCACGCGUAGAGUAUAAAGGCAAAAGCGCGCUUAACUGCGAGACCCACAAGUCGAGCAGGUACGAAAGUAGGUCUUAGUGAUCCGGUGGUUCUGUAUGGAAGGGCCAUCGCUCAACGGAUAAAAGGUACUCUGGGGAUAACAGGCUGAUACCGCCCAAGAGUUCAUAUCGACGGCGGUGUUUGGCACCUCGAUGUCGGCUCAUCUCAUCCUGGGGCUGAAGCAGGUCCCAAGGGUAUGGCUGUUCGCCAUUUAAAGAGGUACGCGAGCUGGGUUUAGAACGUCGUGAGACAGUUCGGUCCCUAUCUACCGUGGGCGCUGGAAAUUUGAGAGGAUCUGCUCCUAGUACGAGAGGACCAGAGUGGACGAACCUCUGGUGUACCGGUUGUGACGCCAGUCGCAUCGCCGGGUAGCUAUGUUCGGAAGGGAUAACCGCUGAAAGCAUCUAAGCGGGAAGCCUACCUCAAGAUAAGAUUUCCCUAGGACUUUAUGUCCUCUAAAGAGCCGUUCGAGACUAGGACGUUGAUAGGUUGGAUGUGGAAGCAUAGUGAUAUGUGAAGCUGACCAAUACUAAUUGCUCGUGAGGCUUGACUAU